rnacentral:rRNA from 1 species
UACGUAGGGCGCAAGCGUUAUCCGGAAUUAUUGGGCGUAAAGAGCUCGUAGGCGGUUUGUCGCGUCUGCCGUGAAAGUCCGGGGCUCAACUCCGGAUCUGCGGUGGGUACGGGCAGACUAGAGUGAUGUAGGGGAGACUGGAAUUCCUGGUGUAGCGGUGAAAUGCGCAGAUAUCAGGAGGAACACCGAUGGCGAAGGCAGGUCUCUGGGCCACUACUGACGCUCAGAAGCGAAAGCGUGGGGAGCGAACAGG